AAGGCAGGUCGGGUGAAGAAGAGCAGGAUGUUUCAUUUUUAUCAAGCAUCACCUGAUUCAAAAUGUAGCCACUGAAAAGAAGCAAUCGUUUUUGGCCUGCGUCUCUGAGGAUAAGACAGUGCGUGGGUGAUGGAUGCAGCCCAGAUCAGCUAUGAAAAUACCCAGCCGGCCUGCAGCCCUCCCGGCAGAUGCUGAAAAGGAAACCCGACUGGGAGAUGCCGCCCACCCUUGUCCCCAGAGAGCUGCGUUGUUUCCUCCUGCCUCGGCCUUUGGAUCCGGCCACAGCAAGCAUCCCUGGGCACCUGGCUGAAGCUGGAAACUCGGGAUAAGAAUGGAAGCCCUGGAAGGGAAGAAGAACCGAGGAGAGGACAGCACAUCGCACUCUCACCUCCUUUGCAGUUAAGUGUGAAAUAGUGCCAAUAGAGUGUGAAAGAAAAGAAAGAAGAUGAUUCACCUCCCAAAGAUUCCCCACUGCUGUGUCCCUUCUAUCAACUUGAUACAAAAAAACACAAUGGCCCCGGGAACCACGUGUUGAAGAUGAGAGAGCUAAAAGAUGGAAAGAGACUGGAGCCCUGAGUCACCACCUGGAGGAAAACUACCCACCCAUCAGGAAUUUCUACCACACAUUUGGGAG
rnacentral:lncRNA from 1 species